rnacentral:rRNA from 1 species
ACCCUGACCAAAACAGACCGUGCACGCGUCAUCCAGCCUGCCGGCGGCGGAUCCGUUCGUCGUUCGGCCAAGUCCUUGACAACCUCUUCUCUUCGGAGUGGGGGCUCGAGGUAAAAGAACCCACGACGCCUAAGGCGUCAAGGAACACUGUGCCUAGCCCGGGGACGCGGACGGCUUGCUGCCUGCCCCCCGUGCUGCAACGCUAUAUAAUCCACACGACUCUCGGCAACGGAUAUCUCGGCUCUCGCAUCGAUGAAGAACGUAGCGAAAUGCGAUACCUGGUGUGAAUUGCAGAAUCCCGCGAACCAUCGAGUCUUUGAACGCAAGUUGCGCCCGAGGCCAUUCGGCCGAGGGCACGCCUGCCUGGGCGUCACGCAAAACACGCUCCCACCCCCUCAUUGGGGGACCGGGACGCGGCAUCUGGCCCCCCGUCGCGCAAGGGGCGGUGGGCCGAAGAUAUGGCUGCCGGCGCAUCGUGCCGGACACAGCGCGUGGUGGGCGACCUCGCUUUACUUACCGCAGUGCAUCCGGUGCGUAGCCGGCGUGAUGGCCUCGAAGGACCCUAUGAACGGUGCGCACGACGCUCCGACC